AUAUUAAACCAUUAUCGAGUCCUUGGUGAGUAUCGCUGCUUCUGAUAGCAAUUCGAGCAACACCCUGAGUAACGCGACGUGGCGUUUUGCCAUUGGUUACAAGUUAAAUAUAAAAGUUAAUUUUUUUUUUCUGAGAAACGCAACCGACUCUCUCUCUCUCUCUCUUCUCUGUCGGGUGAAAGACAAAGGCGAUCGAAGUCGCGAUCUUUCCAAAUUCCGGGAAAAUCCACCAUUUCACACGAAUUUCCGGCUAAAUAUGGAGGUUGAUGGCAACCGGAGGCGAUGGCUAACCAAAGUCGGUGUAACCCUAAGAUGAUGACGCUUCGGUGGAGCACGACAAACAACGGCGGAGGUUUCAGAUUGGUGGGACAAUGACGGCGGAGGUUUCCGGGGGUCUAAAGCGGACGACGAGGUCCACCGGCUAACAGAUCGGAGAGAUAAGGUUUUGGGACAACAUAUGAAGUUUGUAAAAUUUUAUUGUUUUCUAUUUUAUGUAAUAUAAAAUUUUUAAAUAAUUGUUUUGUCAUUUUAGAUAAUAAAAUUUUGAUAAUUAAUAAACACAAAUUAAAAAAAUAUUAUUUAAAUGCUUAAGCAACCUUCUUUGGGA